rnacentral:lncRNA from 1 species
UUUUAAGAGAUAAAAGGGCUUGAAAAGAAGAAGUGGAUUAGAUCAGAUUGGAAACAGCAAGGUGGAUCGAAGAUUAGAUUGAGAGGUGGAUUCGUGAAAUGGGUUGCUCUGAUACCAAUUAUGUUGGCUGCAGUUUCAGCCUGAAACAGAGAAAGGCUAUAGAAAGAAAAAAUGGAAGAGUAACAGCUUGGAACAGACCUGGGAACAGAGGAGUUAAGACAGUCCCCACACAAAACAGAGGACCUUUUUUCUUUCAGUUUGUAUUCUCGGUUCUUCACUUUUUUGUUGUACAGACACCAGAAUUUAAACCAGAUGCAAAGAGAUUUAACCUGUGUAAAUCUCUCCACGUGGAAGCAUGACAACCACUCAAAACAAAAACAAAAAAGUUUUUUUUACAUAUAUAACCUAACACAGCAUAGGCACAUUAUGUUACAUUAUGUUGGCCGCAGUUUCAGCCUGAAACAGAGAAAGGCUAUAGAAAGAAAAAAUGGAAGAGUAACAGCUUGGAACAAACCUGGGAACAGAGGAGUUAAGACAGUCCCCACACAAAACAGAGGACCUUUUUUCUUUCAGUUUGUAUUCU